rnacentral:rRNA from 1 species
GACGAACGCUGGCGGCGUGCUUAACACAUGCAAGUCGAACGGAAAGGCCCUGCUUUUGUGGGGUGCUCGAGUGGCGAACGGGUGAGUAACACGUGAGUAACCUGCCCUUGACUUUGGGAUAACUUCAGGAAACUGGGGCUAAUACCGGAUAGGAGCUCCUGCUGCAUGGUGGGGGUUGGAAAGUUUCGGCGGUUGGGGAUGGACUCGCGGCUUAUCAGCUUGUUGGUGGGGUAGUGGCUUACCAAGGCUUUGACGGGUGGCCGGCCUGAGAGGGUGACCGGACACAUGGGGAGGGGGAUACGCCCCAGACGCCUAGGGGGGGGGAAGGGGGGGAAAAUUGUACAAAGGGGGGAAGCGUGUGGAGGAACCGCGGGGGGGGGAGGGAGGGCGUCCGGGGUGAAAACCCUUUUGCCCUGGGAGAAGGAGGAAGGACGGUAAAUGGGGAAAAAACACCGGGUAAAUCUGUG